rnacentral:rRNA from 1 species
UACAGAGGUCUCAAGCGUUGUUCGGAAUUACUGGGCGUAAAGGGUGCGCAGGCCGCGCGGGCAGUCAAAUGUGUAAUCCAGGGGCUCAACCCCUGAACUGCGCUUGAUACUUCCGCGCUCGAGCUUUGGAGAGGAGUCUGGAAUUCUCGGUGUAGCAGUGAAAUGCGUGGAUAUCGAGAAGAACACGUAGGGCGUAGGCAAGACUCUGGACAAAUGCUGACGCUCAUGCACGAAGGCUAGGGUAGCGAACGGG